rnacentral:rRNA from 1 species
GGAUAACUUGCCCUACACUGGGGGAUAAUCUUGGGAAACUGAGGAUAAUACCCCAUAGACCACUACGCCUGGAACGGUGAGUGGUUGAAAGCUCCGGCGGUGUAGGAUGGGUCUGCGGCGUAUCAGGUGGUAGGGGGUGUAAUGGACCUCCUAGCCAUCGACGCGUACGGGUUGUGGGAGCAAUAGCCCGGAGACGGAUUCUGAGACACGAAUCCGGACCCUACGGGGUGCAGCAGGCGCGAAAACUUCACACUGCAGGAAACUGUGAUGAGGGAACUCCAAGUGACUGCACAAUGUGUAGCCUUUUCUUGAAUCUUAAUAGUUCUUGGAAUAAGGGCUGGGAAAGACCGGUGCCAGCCGCCGCGGUAAUACCGGCAGCUCAAGUGGUCGUCGCUUUUAUUGGGCCUAAAACGUCCGUAGCCUGUUUGGUAAAUCUGUGGGUAAAUCAACGAGCUUAACUCGUUGAAUUCUGCAGAGACUGCCAGACUAGGGACCGGGAGAGGUAUGAGGUACUCUGGGGGUAGGGGUAAAAUCCUGUCAUCCUCAGAGGACCACCUGUUGCGAAGGCGUCAUACUGGAACGGAUCCGACGGUCAGGGACGAAGCCUAGGGGCACGAACCGGAUUAGAUACCCGGGUAGUCCUAGGUGUAAACGCUGUGGAUUUGGUGUGUGGGGUCCGCAAUGGGCCCCAUGUGCCGGAGUGAAGAUGUUAAAUCCACUUCCUGGGUAGUAUGGUCGCAAGGCUGAAACUU